ensembl:snRNA U1 U1 spliceosomal RNA
GUCUUAUCCUGGCAGGGGAGGCACCAUGAUCAGGCAGGUGGUUUUCCCAGGGCGAAGCUCAUACCUUGAACUCCAGGUAUGCUGAUUCGUGCGAUUUCCCCAAAUGUGGGAAACUUGACUGUAUAAUUUGUGGUAGUGGGGGACUGCAUUUGUGCUCUCCACUG